rnacentral:rRNA from 1 species
UACAGAGGUCUCAAGCGUUGUUCGGAUUCAUUGGGCGUAAAGGGUGUGUAGGUGGCGCGCUAAGUCGGGUGUGAAUUUCGGAGCUUAACUCCGAAACUGCAUUCGAUACUGGCGUGCUUGAGGACUGGAGAGGAGACUGGGAAUUCGAUGGUGUAGCAGUGAAAUGCGUAGAGAUCAUGAGGAAGACCAGUGGCGAAGGCGGGUCUCUGGACAAGUUCCUGACACUGAGACACGAAGGCCAGGGGAGCAAACGGG